rnacentral:tRNA from 1 species
CUGCCGAUAGCUCAACGGAUCAGAGCUGCGGGCUUCUAUCCCGUAGGUUGGGGGUUCGAAUCCCUCUCGGCAGGCCA